CGCAUCUGUGCAUGCAGCAUAUCAAUAAGCGGAGGAAAAGAAACUAACAAGGAUUCCCUUAGUAACGGCGAGUGAAGCGGGAAGAGCUCAAAUUUGAAAUCUUAAAGGUUUUCCCUUGACGAAUUGUAGUUUAAAGAAGUGUUUUCUGUUGAAGUUUUGGUAAAAGUUCUUUGGAAUAGGACAUCAUAGAGGGUGAGAAUCCCGUAUUUGACCAUUAUUUUCAAGCUGUGUGAUACACUUUCAAAGAGUCGGAUUGUUUGGGAAUGCAGUCCAAAAUGGGUGGUAAAUUUCAUCUAAAGCUAAAUAUUGGCGAGAGACCGAUAGCGAACAAGUACCGUGAGGGAAAGAUGAAAAGAACUUUGAAAAGAGAGUUAAACAGUACGUGAAAUUGUCAAAAGGGAAGCGUUUGACACCAGUGUUGUUUUCUCGAAAAUCAAUUAAAAAGAGUUUGAUUUUGUUGUGUAUUGACCUUAACAGCUUGCAUUUCAAUUUUCUUGCUUUUUUUAAUGCACUUUUCGUUUAACAAGUCAACAUCAGUUUCUUUUGUUGUAAAAAGGUCAUUGGAAGGUGGCUUUCUUUUCGGAGAAAGUGUUUAUAGCCUUUGACUCCUGCAAUCGGAGAGACUGAGGUCUGCAGCGUAGAUCCUUCGGGGUUAGAUACAUUUGUGCUAAGUUAUAGCUUUUUAUAGACAACUUGUUGACUAUGAUUAGUCUUGUAGCUUACUCGCUUAUGCUAUUUUACCUACGCUUAGGAUGUUGAUGUGAUACUGCGAGCA
rnacentral:rRNA from 1 species